rnacentral:rRNA from 1 species
UAGGGAAUCUUCCACAAUGGACGCAAGUCUGAUGGAGCAACGCCGCGUGAGUGAAGAAGGCUUUCGGGUCGUAAAACUCUGUUGUUGGAGAAGAAUGGUCGGCAGAGUAACUGUUGUCGGCGUGACGGUAUCCAACCAGAAAGCCACGGCUAACUACGUGCCAGCAGCCGCGGUAAUACGUAGGUGGCAAGCGUUAUCCGGAUUUAUUGGGCGUAAAGCGAGCGCAGGCGGUUUUUUAAGUCUGAUGUGAAAGCCCUCGGCUUAACCGAGGAAGCGCAUCGGAAACUGGGAAACUUGAGUGCAGAAGAGGACAGUGGAACUCCAUGUGUAGCGGUGAAAUGCGUAGAUAUAUGGAAGAACACCAGUGGCGAAGGCGGCUGUCUGGUCUGUAACUGACGCUGAGGCUCGAAAGCAUGGGUAGCGAACAGGAUUAGAUACCCUGGUAGUCCAUGCCGUAAAACGAUGAAUGCUAGGUGUUGGAGGGUUUCCGCC